AGUGAACGCUGGCGGUAGGCCUAACACAUGCAAGUCGAACGGCAGCACAGUAAGAGCUUGCUCUUACGGGUGGCGAGUGGCGGACGGGUGAGGAAUACAUCGGAAUCUACUUUUUCGUGGGGGAUAACGUAGGGAAACUUACGCUAAUACCGCAUACGACCUACGGGUGAAAGCAGGGGAUCUUCGGACCUUGCGCGAUUGAAUGAGCCGAUGUCGGAUUAGCUAGUUGGCGGGGUAAAGGCCCACCAAGGCGACGAUCCGUAGCUGGUCUGAGAGGAUGAUCAGCCACACUGGAACUGAGACACGGUCCAGACUCCUACGGGAGGCAGCAGUGGGGAAUAUUGGACGAUGGGCGCAAGCCUGAUCCAGCCACACCGCGUGGGUGAAGAAGGCCUUCGGGUUGUAAAGCCCUUUUGUUGGGAAAGAAAAGCAGCAGGUUAAUACCCCGCUGUUCUGACGGUACCCAAAGAAUAAGCACCGGCUAACUUCGUG
rnacentral:rRNA from 1 species